rnacentral:tRNA from 1 species
AUGGGAAUCGAACCCACAUUGUUCCGCUUACCGGGCAGAUGCCAUGUCCAUUAGGCU